rnacentral:rRNA from 1 species
UACGAAGGGGGCUAGCGUUGUUCGGAAUUAUUGGGCGUAAAGAGCUCGUAGGUGGUUUGUUACGUCUGCUGUGAAAACCUAGGGCUUAACCCUGGGCUUGCAGUGGAUACGGGCAGACUAGAGGUAGGUAGGGGAGAAUGGAAUUCCUGGUGUAGCGGUGAAAUGCGCAGAUAUCAGGAGGAACACCGGUGGCGAAGGCGGUUCUCUGGGCCUUACCUGACACUGAGGAGCGAAAGCGUGGGGAGCGAACAGG